AGAGUUUGAUCCUGGCUCAGGAUGAACGCUAGCGACAGGCUUAACACAUGCAAGUCGAGGGGCAGCGGGGUAGUAAGCUUGCUUACUACUGCCGGCGACCGGCGCACGGGUGAGUAACACGUAUGGAACCUGCCCGCAGCAGGGGGAUAAGCGGAAGAAAUUCCGUCUAAUACCGCGUAACAACCGUUGGAGGCAUCUCCGGUGGUUUAAAGGUUUACCGGCUGCGGAUGGCCAUGCGGCGCAUUAGCUAGUUGGCGGGGUAACGGCCCACCAAGGCGACGAUGCGUAGGGGUUCUGAGAGGAAGGUCCCCCACACUGGUACUGAGACACGGACCAGACUCCUACGGGAGGCAGCAGUGAGGAAUAUUGGUCAAUGGCCGGAAGGCUGAACCAGCCAAGUCGCGUGAGGGAAGACGGCCCUACGGGUUGUAAACCUCUUUUGUCGGGGAGCAAAGGCGGUCAUGCGUGACCGGAUGAGAGUACCCGAAAAAAAAGCAUCGGCUAACUCCGUGCCAGCAGCCGCGGUAAUACGGAGGAUGCGAGCGUUAUCCGGAUUUAUUGGGUUUAAAGGGUGCGCACGCGGGAU
rnacentral:rRNA from 1 species